UGCAGUCGAGCGCACUCUUCGGAGUGAGCGGCGGACGGGUUAGUAACGCGUGGGAACGUGCCCUUCUCUAAGGAAUAGCCACUGGAAACGGUGAGUAAUACCUUAUACGCCCUUCGGGGGAAAGAUUUAUCGGAGAAGGAUCGGCCCGCGUUAGAUUAGAUAGUUGGUGGGGUAAUGGCCUACCAAGUCUACGAUCUAUAGCUGGUUUUAGAGGAUGAUCAGCAACACUGGGACUGAGACACGGCCCAGACUCCUACGGGAGGCAGCAGUGGGGAAUCUUGGACAAUGGGCGCAAGCCUGAUCCAGCCAUGCCGCGUGAGUGAUGAAGGCCUUAGGGUCGUAAAGCUCUUUCGCCAGAGAUGAUAAUGACAGUAUCUGGUAAAGAAACCCCGGCUAACUCCGUGCCAGCAGCCGCGGUAAUACGGAGGGGGUUAGCGUUGUUCGGAAUUACUGGGCGUAAAGCGUACGUAGGCGGAUCAGAAAGUAGGGGGUGAAAUCCCGAGGCUCAACCUCGGAACUGCCUCCUAAACUCCUGGUCUUGAGUUCGAGAGAGGUGAGUGGAAUUCCAAGUGUAGAGGUGAAAUUCGUAGAUAUUUGGAGGAACACCAGUGGCGAAGGCGGCU
rnacentral:rRNA from 1 species